ACUAUUCAUUCAGAUAAAAAAAAAAUUUUACAUCACCCAUUGGAAGACUAUUUAACAAUUUUUUUCUCUAUAUUAUAAAGAAUUAGACAUUUUACCACCUCCAUUGGGAGUGCUCUAGAGGGUAUUUGUAUCCUUAAUUAAAAAAUUGUGGGGUGUUUGACAUUGUUUUUUGAAAAUAAUUUUUAAAAAUAAAGUUACAAAAAAUAAAAAAAUUUGAGAACAAAAAAAAAAAUUGUUUUAGUUAUUCUCAAAUUUUUUUCUCACAUAAUUUUUUUUAUUACUAUCUCAUAUCACUUUCUCUCUUAUUGUUAUCCCCAAAAAUUGGAGAUCGAUGACGUGGCAAUAGAGGUGACAAGUGGCAGUGCAUGGUCCGUAAACGGCACAUUAAUAGUCAAUAAAUAUAUUGGCUCCUCAGAGUUGUGAUAAAGUGAUAUGGUUUAGGAGUGACCCGGUAGGCCUUUGAAGAAUUUUGGUUGGCUUGAGAAGUAUCAUGACCGACCAGGCAUGACCUUGUCCGACCAGUCACGUGUUUCUCUGCCCAGGCAUGACCUUGCUUGCCCAGGCAUGACCUUGCCUGCCCAGGCAUGACCUUGUCCGACCAGGCAUGAACUUGACCGAUCGAUUAUGACCAUGUCUGCCCAGCUAAGUGCAUGUCUGCCCAGCUAAGUGUAUGUCUGCCCAGUCAAGUGCAUGACUGCCCAGUAAAGGUGUGGCCGACCAGACUGAAGAUGAUAUGGAUCAACUAGAUAGAGGAGGACUACGUCAAGUGUAACGACCCAAAUCCGCUGAUAAGGCUUAAGGGCCUUGAUUAGCGUGUCAGGAGGGUAUGAUGGGAUUUAUGUGUGACUUUGAUGAGUUAAAUGCAUGAUUAUGAUUUAAAGCAUGUUAUAUGACUAUUUGUUUAUCUGAGAUGCAUGACUAUGUAUAUUAGUAUGCAUGUAGGCCCAGAUCGUGUUAGAAGGGCAUAAUUGUAAUUUUGGCCAUGUUGGGCAUGACUGUAUUGAUAUGUGAUGAUUGUUGAGACCACAGUGGUAUGUGGGUGUAUCUGUGAUUUGUGACUCGAGACGAUCCCAGUGAGCAGGCUAGCGGAAAAGUCAUGGCGGGAAUUUAUACCCGGCUCGGGGCGAGCCUGGGGGUAUAAGCAGGAAUUCAGAGAAUAGAUUGAGAUUUAUUUUGAUGAUGGGGGAUACUUAUUUGGUGAUUUAUCAGGUGUUGGAAAGAAACGGGAAAAUAUUAGAGACACUUGAGGAUUAGCGAGAAUUGGGUAAAUGACUAAAAUGGCCCUACUUGGACAAAAGGAUUUAGAAUUAAUAGGGAGGGCAUUUUGGUCAUUUGGCUUUUAGAGAUUUAUUUAUGAGGCUUUAUUCACUUAGUGGGAUUUAUAGAGAAGUGUGUUGGCUAUGGAGAGAAAGAAAGAAAAAGGAAAGAAAGAAAAGAGGGAAAACAGAGGGGUUUUCCUCAAGGUUCGGUUUGUGCAUUCUUGCACCAUUCCUCUCCGUUUUUCUUGGGGCAAAGGUCAGUGGAGAGCUAGGAUAGGCUGAGCAUCAAGAAUCUUAAGGUUAUACUUGAAGAUUUGGCAAGGAUUAGCAAGAACACAUCAACUUUUGAGGUAAGUUUUUAGAGAUUUCAGUUUAAGGGUUUUGAUGGUUGGAGCUGUGUUUUGAGCUGAGUUGAUGGGAAUUUCUGGGCAAGCUUUGAGGAUGAACAAGCUAAGGAGGUCUAGGGUUGAAUCAAGGUCGAAAUUUGCAUAAAUGGUAAGAAUUCUAAGCCUUUAACUUUUUUUUUGAUUGAAUUUCUGGGUUCAGGGUUGUUCAUGGUGAAUUUUGAGAUUUGGGUUGAAUGUGCUUGGGUUUUGAGUUCUUGGGAUGCUUGAGAUGAGUGUGAGGUGUUUAUAAGCUUGAUUUUGGGUUUGGAAAAGGUUUGGAUAAGUUUGGGGUUGAAUUGGUUGAAGGAAAUCGCAUGAUGCGAUUUUUGGGUUCUGCUGGGCUGCAACUAGCGCUACAGCGCUAGUCAGUGGGCGCUGUAGCGCUAGCCCCUGUUCUGGGGGGUGUGUUCUGCUUGUAGCGCUACAGCGCCCUCUUUAGAGCGCUGUAGCGCUGCACUGUUCACAUAAGUGGAUUUUUGGGUUUUUGAUGAGGGAUUUUGACCUAGGGUUCUGCUUGUAGCGCUACAGCGCCGUCUUUAGAGCGAUGUAGCGCUGCACUGUUCACAUAAGUGGAUUUUUGCGUUUUUGAUGAGGGAUUUUGACCUAGGGUUCGGGGCUCGAUUCCGCCACUUUGUUUUGGGGAUUUAGGACUUCCCGGGGGCUCGGGAUUGGUCCCGAGGCUAGGUAUUCAGACUUGGGGUUCGGUGUUGACUUUGACCUAUGUUUGUGCGUAGGUGUGCGCUAAGGCUCGAGUGGGAUCGUGCUCAAGGAGUCAGGUGAUCUAAGCUAUUGAUUGGAAAGUGAAAUGAACGGCUAUGGCCGAGGGCGGCAAGGCCAAGAACGGCAGCAGGGCCGGAAGUAACACUUAGCACAUGGGAUGCUUAUAGUCAGGGUAGGACCCAGGGGAUACAUGUGAUAUCCCUACGGUGAGGACCGAGACCCCAAGCUUUGGUAAGGGCAAUGACUGAGUCAACCAACCAUGAGUACGGAGAGCGUGAAGCGACGCGUACAUGUUUGGCCUGCCCGACUGCUUUGGUUAGGGGUUUUUACGAGAAAUGGCUGUAAUAAUCUAUGAUUUUUAUAACUAAUCAACUGUAAGCUUAUUUCAAGAUGUAAAUAGUUUUCGAACCUCAUUUUGGGAUCCCAAAUGUUUAAUACUAGAAGUUUAAUGAAACGACGCAUUUUCAAA